CCUGGGAUUAAAGGCAUGCGCCAUCACUGCCUGGUUGGUUUAUGAUCUCCCUGUCUACACAUCAAAGUAACUUACUAAACUGCCAUCUUAAAUGGAUUCAGGAGCUAGUGAUAUUAGAGCGAGUUCUUAUAAACGUCUCCCUUUGGUGACUAAGGGAAAGUCCCCUACCCUGCAGGGAGAUUGGAGCCCACCUUGGAGAAGGUAGAAAUUACUGCUGUUGGUUAUUUAAGAGCCUGAAAGGGCUAGAGGGCCGGAUGUGUCUGUGCUCAGAGGACCAACUGAGGGAAGAUGUGGUUUCCAGGCUGAGAAAUGCUGGGAGCGACUCUGGGGGGACAGGGUGGGGUGGUGGAGCAGAAGAGCUUGGGUUACAUAUUGAGACUCAGUUUAGUCCCCUCCUGGGGGGGUGCUGGGUGGCAGGGGAAACAAUAGGACCGGAUAUAUAGCUCAGGGGUAGAGCACCUGCCUAGCAUGUAUGAAAACUUGGAUGCAAGCUCAGGUCACACACAUCCCUAGAGGGCAGGACUAUUUUGUUUGUUUCUGACUGGGGGUCUGUCUUUUUUUUUUUUUUUUUUUUUUUUUUUUUUUUUGAGACAGGGUUUCUCUGUGUAACUCUGGCUGUCCUGGAACUCACUCUGUAGACCAGGCUGGACUCGAACUCAGAAAUCCACCUGCCUCUGCCUCCUGAGUGCUGGGAUUAAAGGCGAGGGUCUUUCUUGCUUGCCCAAGCAGGCCACCAGUUCCCAAGCUCAAGUAAUCCCCUUCUCCUGGCCCCUGCAUAGCUGAGACUACAGGCACAACUGCCACCUCUUGUUCAUUUUGUUUUAGCACACACUUUUUUUUGGGUUCAGCUACUUUUUAGUAGAAAUUUUAUCUUGGCACUUAAACAUCAUCUUAACGCAGUACUAAACCAAGUCCCAGGUGAGAUAAACUAAAGAAAGAGGAGCCGCGGGGAGUCUCACAGGGGGAGUAGCAGAUCAGCUCGGAAAUUGUGUUUAUUCAAGUUUCACAAGAGACAGGCCCUGUGCAGGUGGCUACAAGCUGAUGGAACACCUGUGCAGGAGGAAGGGCACCAAUGGUGGGGGUCACUGAAGCUCUGAAAGGGGUGCUUUAGGAGUGGCUAGUGUCAGACCCAAGAGGCCUUGAAAUCAGAGAAGGCCCUUCCUCUUCAGCUCAGCCUUAGGUCAUGCACCUUUCUGACUAGGCCAGCAGUGCACCAGGCAAGAGCGCUGCCCCCGUGAAUACUGCUACUGUGUGGCCCCAGCCUCCCCCCUCUGGUUUGCCAGCAGGGCAGAUAGGCUGUGCCAUAGCUUUCCAGCCUUCACUCUGCAGAGGCCGUGUACUUCUUUGCUUCCUCUAUUACAGGGAGAUCUUUCUUCAUGUCUGAAGAGCUUCUAAAACUGUGACCCUGGCACCAGAGUGAUCUGAGACACUAAACUGUGAAUGGUGGGCCCCACAUCUACACUUAAGAAGUAAAAAUCCCCAUAGAGGUGAAGCCUAGGACUCUGCAUUGAACAUGUUCCCUCAGGUGACCCUUAGGCACAGAAACCCUGUGCUGGGGCUUGCAAUAUGAACUCAACCCGGAUGUCAUAGCAUGUUUUUGUUUUAGAUUUAAGUAUAGGAGUGUACUGUAGCUGUCUUCAGACACACCAGAAGAGGGCAUCAGAUCCCAUUACGGAUGGCUGUGAGCCACCAUAUGAUUGCUGGGAAUUGAACUCAGUAGUCAGUGUUCUUAACUGCUGAGUCAUCUCUCCAGCCCCUUGGUUUUUCUUGAGAGGUUUUACUGGGUAACCCUGGCUGUCUUGGAAGUAACUCCGUAGUCCAGGCUGGCCUGAACUCACAGAGAUCCACCUGUCUCUGCCUCCUAAGUGCUAGGACUAAAGGUUUUCAUCUGCACCACCAGGCCCAUGGUAUCAGUUUUAAGAGAAAAUACUUGAGUUUGUGGGUCCAGAAGUCAGCAGAUAUUAGGCAUUACCCUUCCAUAGCUAGCGCAGGCUAGCCUGGUGUUUACAGAGACCUCCCUGAGACUGUUAUGGCUUGAAGCCUGUAGGGACCCCUUUGCCUCUGCCUCCUGAGAGCUGAGUAUAGGCACACACUGUCACCCUACUACAUACCCUGGAUGGCCUCAAAAGGUACCGGUUAGACCCAUUUUACAGAUAAGGAAAUUUGCCUACUUGACUAGAAAGUGAAAUAUUCAUCAUUCAAAACAAGUCCAUGGUUUUAUUUUCACUAUGGGUGUGGUGGUAUCAGGUGGCUAACUGAAAUGUUACCAGUGACACAGCAAUGGUUGACAGUGGCUAUGAAGAACCAUGUCACCCGACAGGAACAUGCUGCACUGGGUUUCACUAUGGUGUCAUCUCUUUACAUUUUUUUUUUCUACUCUGGACCGGAGAGACAGGGGAGGCAGGGCCUGUUUUCUGCCUGUACUAGGAGGGGCUCAUUGAUUUAAGGUGGAGUCCAAGGUCUCUGUCAAAGUAUCUUUUAGGUCCCA